rnacentral:rRNA from 1 species
AACGAACGCUGGCGGCAGGCUUAACACAUGCAAGUCGAACGGUUGCAGCAAUGCAGCAGUGGCAGACGGGUGAGUAACACGUGGGAACCUUCCUAGGGGUACGGAACAACUCAGGGAAACUUGAGCUAAUACCGUAUACGUCCGUGAGGAGAAAGAUUUAUCGCCCUUAGACGGGCCCGCGUCGGAUUAGCUAGUUGGUGGGGUAACGGCCUACCAAGGCGACGAUCCGUAGCUGAUCUUAGAGGAUGAUCAGCCACACUGGGACUGAGACACGGCCCAGACUCCUACGGGAGGCAGCAGUGGGGAAUCUUGGACAAUGGGCGCAAGCCUGAUCCAGCCAUGCCGCGUGAGUGAAGAAGGUCUUCGGAUUGUAAAGCUCUUUUGCCAGGGACGAUAAUGACGGUACCUGGAGAAUAAGCCCCGGCAAACUUCGUGCCAGCCGCCGCCGUAA